GACGAACGCUGGCGGCGUGCCUAAUACAUGCAAGUCGAACGAGAGCGACCGGUGCUUGCACUGGUCAAUCUAGUGGCGAACGGGUGAGUAACACGUGGGUAACCUGCCCAUCAGAGGGGGAUAACAUCCGGAAACGGAUGCUAAAACCGCAUAGGUCUUCGAGCCGCAUGGCUUGAAGAGGAAAAGAGGCGCAAGCUUCUGCUGAUGGAUGGACCCGCGGUGCAUUAGCUAGUUGGUGAGGUAACGGCUCACCAAGGCCGUGAUGCAUAGCCGACCUGAGAGGGUGAUCGGCCACAUUGGGACUGAGACACGGCCCAAACUCCUACGGGGGGCAGCAGUAGGGAAUCUUCCGCAAUGGACGCAAGUCUGACGGAGCAACGCCGCGUGAGUGAAGAAGGUUUUCGGAUCGUAAAACUCUGUUGUUAGAGAAGAACAAGUGCUAGAGUAACUGUUAGCGCCUUGACGGUAUCUAACCAGAAAGCCACGGCUAACUACGUG
rnacentral:rRNA from 1 species